rnacentral:miRNA from 1 species
UAUCAUGUUGAUUCUCAAAUUCA